rnacentral:lncRNA from 1 species
AAGCUGGUUGGAUCAGAAAAUUUAACCUUCAAUCUUGUAUUAGGUGUGGCAGGGGAACUCAUCAGAUUAGCUUGUGAUGCUACAAAUGAUUCUCUGAUUAGUGCUGGAUACAGUGGUUAUAUUAAGGUUUGUUGCAUGUUGCUGCUGUUGCACUUUAGUUCAAUGACAGUUUAUUUCAUUUUCGCAAGAAAUAUUACAAUAUGUUCCAGUGCCUGCUAAUUAAGUGCAUCUACUUUAUGUAAUGCUAAUGUACAUUUCAUUUCAUCUUUCAUGCUCUUAUCACUGGUUAAAUGUUGUUCCUCUUCUAAUCCACCACCAAUAAUACAUGGAGUAUUGCACCUGCAGCCUUAAAUUAGCCACUGUUGAGCAUUUCUUUGCUAGUAUGGGUUAAGUUUGCUGCGCGUGACCCUAGCGUGCACGCCUAGGCCAAGGAGGAAAAGAAAGGGGGCGGAUAGAAGAGGGAGGGAGCGCCAGUGUUGUUCCUGGGACAAGGAGAGCUAGCUUGUCAACGAUGUGGAGCUGCUCCUGAUCCCUUAACCAUUCCUAAGCUAGGACGGAGCUGAUGUCCAGAGAAGGAAGGAGAUGCAGGUGCCAUUGGAUUUGGAUCCAAUGGUCUAGAAGCACGGAGAGACAAACUCUUGUAAAAAGCACACACAAUUGGAGGGGCCGUUCGUCGUGGCCACACAUGUUUUGUAGUGCCAGUAGUGCAAAUGCCCUUCCCGAAUUUUGACAACUCAAUUUCAAUCUGUCUACCUAUCACCAG